rnacentral:rRNA from 1 species
UACAGAGGGUGCGAGCGUUGUCCGGAAUCACUGGGCGUAAAGGGCGCGUAGGCGGCUUGAUAAGCGUGCGGUGAAAGCCCGGGGCUCAACCCCGGGUCGGCCGUGCGAACUGUCGAGCUGGAGCACUGUAGAGGCAGGUGGAAUUCCCGGUGUAGUGGUGAAAUGCGUAGAUAUCGGGAGGAACACCAGUGGCGAAGGCGACUACCUGGCCUGUUCUUGACGCUGAGGCGCGAAAGCUAGGGGAGCAAACGGG